CGACAAGGAGAAGACAUGUAUGCGCUUGUGAAAUGGUGUGCCGGGUCGAUGAGGGGAAAUUUAGUAUUGUUCACAUUAAAUACAUACGAAAUUUUGAUCUGGAAAGUUUUCUAAACGGCGUGAUUACCUACGAAGACGAAUUUGCCGUCGAGUGGGGUGUGGGAAAACGGCCAAAAGGUGGAUUCCCCAUUUAUAUGGCUACCUUCAAUCAGUUGGAGGCUGCCAUUCACAAUCAAGGUGAUGAAAUCCUAGCUUCCUUGGAAGAACAAGCAGAAAAUAGUGACAACGAGCUCUCACUUGUACGUCAAGAAUUGCUAGAAAUAAAAAAAUUCAUCUUCAGAGGAGGAGAAUCCAAGGUUUCAAAGGGGGGAGAUGGGGAGAGAAGAAGCGGCCUGGAUGAAAUAAAAGUAAAAGCUAUAAUGGAUGCAGUUAUGUCAAAGCACUCGGCUGUUUCGACUGGCCAGAUCGGAACAGCCCUGAAUGGGAAGAUGGCAGAGCUAAGACUGGCAAUGUCCAGGAAAAAUGUUACUUAAAAAUGAGUUAAAAUGAGAAAUGUGUUUAAAAUUAAAAUGAGAAAUGUGUUUCCCCAGUGAGUGAGUUUAGAAAUGUUUGAAAAUGUAAUACUGAGGGAAAAAAGUGAGCACUUUGAAAAG
rnacentral:lncRNA from 1 species